AGGGAAGCAAAGAUCUACACUUACCUCUUGAAGAUUGAGGGUUGGUGCGACCUCUAACUCGGAGGUGUGGAGAAUCCAAGCUCCAAAAGCUCUAAGUCCUCAAAACUUCGAUCUAAGCUUAAAACUCUUCAAAAAUAACCAUAAAACUCAUGAAAACAUGAAGGAGAUGAAGAAAGAACAUGAAAACGGCCAAGGAAGG
rnacentral:lncRNA from 1 species